GGAUGUGAGGGCGAUCUGGCUGUGACACCUGUCACCCCAUUGAUUGCCAGGGUUGAUUUGGCUGAUCUGGCUGUCUAGGCAGGUGUUCCCUUCCACCCUCACUGCUCCAUGUGCAUCCCUCCCAAAGUUGUGGGCUCGGUCGAAGAGGACGACCUUCCCCGAUAGAGAAGGACCGUUCUUCAGUCAAGGCUAUACGAGUAGCUGUGCUCCCCUGCUAGAACCUCCAAACAAGCUCUCAAGAUCCAUUUGUAAGAGAACAUAGGGUAGUCAAGCUUCCAAGACUCCAGUCACAACCAAAUGAGCCACUGCAUGUGGCAGUCUGCUUUUCUUU
rnacentral:snRNA from 1 species